CUUCGGUAAAGAGCGGCGGACGGGUGAGUAACGCGUGGGUAACCUGCCCUGUACACACGGAUAACAUACCGAAAGGUAUGCUAAUACGGGAUAAUAUAAGAGAGUCGCAUGGCUUUCUUAUCAAAGCUUUUGUGGUACAGGAUGGACCCGCGUCUGAUUAGCUAGUUGGUAAGGUAACGGCUUACCAAGGCGACGAUCAGUAGCCGACCUGAGAGGGUGAUCGGCCACAUUGGAACUGAGACACGGUCCAAACUCCUACGGGAGGCAGCAGUGGGGAAUAUUGCACAAUGGGCGAAAGCCUGAUGCAGCAGCGCCGCGUGAGCGAUGAAGGCCUUCGGGUCGUAAAGCUCUGUUCUCAAGGAAGAUAAUGACGGUACUUGAGGAGGAAGCCCCGGCUAACUACGUGCCAGCAGCCGCGGUAAUACGUAGGGGGCUAGCGUUAUCCGGAAUUACUGGGCGUAAAGGGUGCGUAGGCGGUCUUUCAAGUCAGAAGUGAAAGGCUACGGCUCAACCGUAGUAAGCUUUUGAAACUGUAAGACUUGAGUGCAGGAGAGGAGAGUGGAAUUCCUAGUGUAGCGGUGAAAUGCGUAGAUAUUAGGAGGAACACCAGUUGCGAAGGCGGCUCUCUGGACUGUAACUGACGCUGAGGCACGAAAGCGUGGGGAGCAAACAGGAUUAGAUACCCUGGUAGUCCACGCCGUAAACGAUGAGUACUAGCUGUCGGAGGUUACCCCCUUCGGUGGCGCAGCUAACGCAUUAAGUACUCCGCUUGGGGAGUACGCUCGCAAGAGUGAAACUCAAAGGAAUUGACGGGGACCCGCACAAGUAGCGGAGCAUGUGGUUUAAUUCGAAGCAACGCGAAGAACCUUACCUAAGCUUGACAUCCUUUUGACCUCUCCCUAAUCGGAGAUUUCCCUUCGGGGACAAAAGUGACAGGUGGUGCAUGGUUGUCGUCAGCUCGUGUCGUGAGAUGUUGGGUUAAGUCCCGCAACGAGCGCAACCCUUGCCUUUAGUUGCCAGCAUUAAGUUGGGCACUCUAGAGGGACUGCCAGGGAUAACCUGGAGGAAGGUGGGGAUGACGUCAAAUCAUCAUGCCCCUUAUGCUUAGGGCUACACACGUGCUACAAUGGGUGGUACAGAGGGCAGCCAAGUCGUGAGGCGGAGCUAAUCCCUUAAAGCCAUUCUCAGUUCGGAUUGUAGGCUGAAACUCGCCUACAUGAAGCUGGAGUUACUAGUAAUCGCAGAUCAGAAUGCUGCGGUGAAUGCGUUCCCGGGUCUUGUACACACCGCCCGUCACACCACGGAAGUUGGGGGCGCCCGAAGCCACUUAGCUAACCCUUUCGGGAAGCGAGUGUCGAAGGUGAAAUCAAUAACUGGGGUGAAGUCGUAACA
rnacentral:rRNA from 1 species